UCUUUUACUUCUGUGCUUGCUAACAUUUCUAUCAGACUUGCUAAUUUUAUAGCCGUCAAAACCUGAUUUCUUUAACUUUUUGACAGUUUGCAAAAUAUAAUUUUUCAAUCUCCUUGAAUCGAAUUUUUGUUGAGUAAUAGUUUUCCUAGGACAACAACGAUGACCCUGAUAUCGCCACCUGAUGCGAAACAAAAUUAUUAAUGGUUUAUAGUUCCCACACUAUUUGCGCUUUUUCUUGUAUUUUGAAGAAGAUUUUUAUUCGGUAUAAGGAAAAUAAAUAAAAUGGAAGUACAAAGGAUACAUUUCAUCGCGAAUACUACAGAUGCCAGUGUCUCUUGAAUAACGUCGAGAGAACCAGUUUACAACAGUCACGUAUAAUUGCAACAAAAAGAGCAGUUUGUAAUAAUUACCACAAUGCGCAGGUUGUAACUGUGGAACUGAACAUAAAAAUGCAAUUCAGCACUGUCAAGACUAUUAGUGAUUCCAGCAUGACUUGCUCGCUGUCACUUUAAAUGAAGGAAUACCUUCGCAGAAUUGACAGGUGAUCGGAAAGGGAAGAUAUACAGGAAGUACGUACAGAUUAUCAUAACUGUUGACAGGGGAACCAGCCAAUCAGUAAUUCUGCUAUGCCAUAGACCUUCUCUCCGCAGGGGUUUUUCUGGGGCCCUUUGUGGAUAUCAGGACACACAAUAGCAUAGUAACCGCAAUAUAAAAACGGCGGUCUCGAGAUCCCCUGAUCUGCGCAUCUGUGUGACGUAACAUAAUGAUGAUAUUACGGCUUUUCCCCCUAUCUUUCGUUCACGGAUCAAGCAGCUUUAGCUGCAGUUUCUGAUGCCACAAUCGGUAGACCACCCUGAAUAAUCACGCGCGUUACCGCCCGCGGCGAAUGUGCCUGUUGAUUUAUUUAUUCCUUUACUGCUUGCGACAAUUAAUAUUAUUAAAACGAGAGAAUUAUAGC